UACACACCGCCCGUCAAGUCAUGGAAGCUGUCAGCGCCUUAAGUCGCCCAAUCUCAUGGGUGCCCACGGCGAGGAUGGUGACUGGGACU
rnacentral:rRNA from 1 species